AUCCUCCUAAUGCUUACCACAGACAGUGAACCACAGCGUUCUGUCUGUAUAGAAACGGGAGGUACAUGAACCUCUCCUAACAUUCGUGCUGUGCUAGCUAAUGUCUGGUAGGGCGACACUGUUGGGUGAGACAG
rnacentral:snoRNA from 1 species